rnacentral:rRNA from 2 species
UAUCAAUAAGCGGAGGAAAAGAAACCAACAGGGAUUGCCCCAGUAACGGCGAGUGAAGCGGCAACAGCUCAAAUUUGAAAUCUGGCCCCUAGGGCCCGAGUUGUAAUUUGUAGAGGAUGCUUUUGGCAAGGUGCCUUCCGAGUUCCCUGGAACGGGACGCCAUAGAGGGUGAGAGCCCCGUCUGGUUGGAUACCGAGCCUCUGUAAAGCUCCUUCGACGAGUCGAGUAGUUUGGGAAUGCUGCUCUAAAUGGGAGGUAUAUGUCUUCUAAAGCUAAAUAUUGGCCAGAGACCGAUAGCGCACAAGUAGAGUGAUCGAAAGAUGAAAAGCACUUUGAAAAGAGGGUUAAAUAGUACGUGAAAUUGUUGAAAGGGAAGCGCUCAUGACCAGACUUGGGCCCGGUGAAUCAUCCAGCGUUCUCGCUGGUGCACUUUGCCGGGCUCAGGCCAGCAUCAGUUUGCUCCGGGGGAUAAAGGCUUUGGGAAUGUGGCUCCUCCGGGAGUGUUAUAGCCCUUUGCAUAAUACCCUGGGGCGGACUGAGGUUCGCGCAUCUGCAAGGAUGCUGGCGUAAUGGUCAUCAGCGACCCGUCUUGAAACACGGACCAAGGAGUCGUCUUCGUAUGCGAGUGUUCGGGUGUAAAACCCCUACGCGUAAUGAAAGUGAACGCAGGUGAGAGCUUCGGCGCAUCAUCGACCGAUCCUGAUGUUCUCGGAUGGAUUUGAGUAAGAGCAUACGGGGCCGGACCCGAAAGAAGGUGAACUAUGCCUGUAUAGGGUGAAGCCAGAGGAAACUCUGGUGGAGGCUCGCAGCGGUUCUGACGUGCAAAUCGAUCGUCAAAUAUGGGCAUGGGGGCGAAAGACUAAUCGAACCUUCUAGUAGCUGGUUUC